rnacentral:rRNA from 1 species
GACGAACGCUGGCGGCGUGCUUAACACAUGCAAGUCGAGCGAUGAAGCUCCUUCGGGAGUGGAUUAGCGGCGGACGGGUGAGUAACACGUGGGUAACCUGCCUCAUAGAGGGGAAUAGCCUUCCGAAAGGAAGAUUAAUACCGCAUAAGAUUGUAGUACCGCAUGGUAUAGCAAUUAAAGGAGCAAUCCGUUAUGAGAUGGACCCGCGUCGCAUUAGCUAGUUGGUGAGGUAACGGCUCACCAAGGCGACGAUGCGUAGCCGACCUGAGAGGGUGAUCGGCCACAUUGGGACUGAGACACGGCCCAGACUCCUACGGGAGGCAGCAGUGGGGAAUAUUGCACAAUGGGGGAAACCCUGAUGCAGCAACGCCGCGUGAGUGAUGACGGUCUUCGGAUUGUAAAACUCUGUCUUCAGGGACGAUAAUGACGGUACCUGAGGAGGAAGCCACGGCUAACUACGUGCCAGCAGCCGCCGUAAGAC